rnacentral:lncRNA from 1 species
GCUUGGGGGAGCCCUCCUGGUUGAAGAUGCUUCCGGCCAGGGCAAGCCUGUGUGGAAGCCCCAGUGCUGAGGGAACGGGGGUGGAACUGAGGUGGAAAUUUGGGGAUGUGGAUAGUCCAGGUCAGGGAUGGUGAACCUUUUAGUGACUGGGUGCCCAAACUUCAGCCCAAAACCCACUUAUUCAUCGCAAAGCGCCAACACUGCAAUUAACCCUGAAUAGUCAAUGGUCGGCUGCUGGGGCCACUUGGCUCACGUGCCAACAAAGAGGGCUCUGUGUGCCAGCCAUGGCACGUGUGCCCUGGGUUCGCCACCACCAGUUCAGACAUUCAAGAGGAAGUGUCUGGCUAGCAUUUUGUGAAGAACCAGGCUAGAGGUAAUACAUAAAGUAGUGAAGUAAACUUCAUAGCAUCCUACUUCUUAGCUUUAGAGCAUGUUGCCUAGGACUUUGGAAUCCCAAUGCCAAAAGAACUGCAUAAUUUAUUUAUUUAUUUAUUUUUUGGUACCGGGGAUUGAACUCAGGACCUUGCACAUGUGAGGCAGGCAGCAGCACCACUGACCUAAAUCCCCGGCCCUAACUGCAUAAUUAAAAAAAAUCAAAUUAGUUAUUUGAUGUUAUGAAAUGAAAACGAAACUAUUUUUCUUUUGUUGACUCAGCCUGAUGUGUAACAUGGAAGUCACUCAAGCCUGAGUGUGUGUGUAUGUGAGUGUGUCUGUCUUUGUUCACAGAGGCAAACACUUAAUGUGGAAAAGGCUGUGUUCUUGCAUUGUUUAUCUCAUCCUAAAAUUACAGAAGCAGGGAGUUUUGUGCCAAGAGACGCUCCCCUUGUCUCACCAGGAGGUGUCACUACAGCUCAUUCAGACGUCGGAGCACAUUCAGUCCUUGGGACCGGGACCACGGUGUUGGCCUUCAACACCUGCCCACUGGGUUCUCUGCCAAGCUAAUUUAAUUAAAAAACGCAAAUUAAAAAAAAAAUUACUUCCGGGUACCCACUUCCGCUCCAAACAAAUGCUGUUACCAGGAACUAGCUGAAACCUAAAAGACUUGUUUAAUGCUCUGGAAACAAAUGCCACUCUUUCUUUUAAGCGUAGGGCAGGGCACAGUGGAAAGAAAAUACAAAGAACGAGGUAAGGGAGGAAAGACAGGUGUGGAGAGCGGUGAGGAGAAGCGGGGGCUGCGCGUGUCUGGCACCAGGUGCCCUGGAAGUCCCCGCGCACUCUGCUUUCUCCUCUGACCUGUGCGUGUUCUCCUGUUCCUGCCUCCUUGCUCCACUCGGUACCUGUCUGCCAUGCCACCUGCAUUGGAGCCAGCAGAUUAUGGACUGAAACCUCUACAAACUGAUCUCCAGCCUGAGUAUAUGCCAAUUGACAUGGGGACACAGAGGCCAGCAAUUUAAGGAUUUUCCCAUUUGCUUGCAGUGGUAAGAUUUAAAGAUAUACCAAUAAGCGAUGUUAAAUAUUACUGGGUUCUGGCUUUUUGUACUCAAUAUGAAUUGAAGUUGUUUAGGUAUAAUUUUUUUUGACCAGUACAGGUCUCCAUUCAGUUAUUUUGGAAAAGGACAGUGAGCAUAACCACAAUUCAUAAUGCAUAAAUAUGGAACAUACUAUUGUUGCAAUGGGUGAAAAUUGGGAAACUGAGCAAUAUUUGGAUUUCUCUCUUUCUGUACAGUUGGACUAAGUUGAAAAAAUGGUUUCCACUUUGGAAAACAAAACAGUUUCUAUUCACAGGAUUCAAUUAUCAGAACACUGGGGAACACAAGAGUUUAAAAUCAAUGGGGAGAAAGGAAAGGGAAGUGAUUCUUUAAUUCCCUAGGGGGCAGUGUGUCCUUAGCUUGGGUCCUGAGAUUGGGCUCUAAACCAUACCUGUGGUUAAUUAAAUGAUUGCAUAAAAUGAGCCGUGUCUGCUGCCAAUGGCAGGGACCUCAGCCCUGGACAACUGCUGCCAGCAGAGGCGCAUCUGUAUGCCAUCACCUGAACAGACAGCUGUAACAGUGGAGACACUGGCAGAUGGAUGGCAGACCGUAUGAACAGAACAUCACUUUUGAAAAGGGAAGUCUUCACUCCAUCCUCUGCGUGUAUGUACACAUGUGCCCCACUCUUAGAUCUGAGGUGGAGAUACAGUGUUAGCAUCAGUGAUGAUUAAGUAUGUAGAUCUAUUAUGGGAGAAAGCUCAGUAUCUGGACACGUUUCCAACAUACAGCAGGAAGUAUUCCAUGAUGUGGCUAAGGAGAGUCAAGCAAGAUCACUCGAGCUCCAGCGGGUCCUUUGGGUCCUGUAUUGUUUAGCUUAGCAGGCGAAGUUCAGGUCUAAUACCCAUUCCAGGAUCAACCCCAGGGUGGGCCAGAUCUUCAAGAAAUGAGGCUCCCAGUUCUCUGGGGGAUACGUUUUAAUGUAGUUUCUGUGUAUUUCUGAGUGCUCAUUUUCAUGUGUGGUCUUGCAGCUGUCCCUGGGACACUGAACACGUGGCUUUCAGCCACCUGAUUUGUCUGCUUUUGUAUACUGGAUGCUCAGUAUCUGUGAAUUCUUG